CAUGCAGCAUCGGAAAAACAUACUUAGUCUUGCACUAUAUAUGUAUUUUAAGAUCUUUUCAACAGGACUGCAAUGUCUUGCAGAUAUUACGGGAGAUUACAGGUUAAUGGGCCAGUUCAGUAUUUCAAAAGCCAAGGUCUCUUGGGAACCAAAUGCGCGCAGGUCAGCGUAUGGCAGCGGUGAUAGGACUUACUAUCGCGCGCGCAUACAUGUUAUUGUACUGAGCAUGCGCUGUUGGAAUACUGAACUGGCUGAUUUUUGGUAAUCUUGGAUGAUUAUUCAAUUUGUAACACAUAGCCAAAAAAAUAGCAUUUCUGAUUUAGGACGACAGAUCCCAUAAUUUGCCACCCUGAUUUCGAUUCGAAUUUCAUUAAAACCACUAACCAGGAAACAACAGGUUCGGCUAAUGACAGAAUGCCCUAUACAAAAAAGGCGGAUAUUACAUAAACCAGUUACAGUCUUGCUCUUAUGAUGGGUUAUUCUGAGCAGACACUUUAACGCAUUCAGCCAUGCUGCAGAAGAGAAAGCCAGGAAGCAAAUGGUGAAAACAGUCGAACAGGGAGCCAGACUGACACUUCGACCGAUUUGUAACGCAAUAGCUCCCCUUGUGUACCCCCAACGACGGUGAAAUUUAAUUCCAGCCACAUCGGAUCAGCAAUCAGUACGGUUUAAUUAAAGGAGACUCGCGGUUUAAACCAAUCACUGCAACUGCUAUCGUAUACCGUGUUCACGAAUCACUUAGGGUCGUGUUCAAAAUUCGGAUGUCACGUCAUCGGCUCUAGCUAUAGGCAGCACAGGCCGGAGCUCAAGGCUUGUUUGUCAGAGAUGUUAAUCGAGAGCUGGUAAUUGAAGAUGAGCUUCGACAUUAAAGGACGACAGUAGUUCCAUCCUGACGGAGCAUCCGACAACACGCGUUGCAGGCCCAUAAAGGUUCUACGCUCAGCAAGUACGUUAUGUAUCUGCGUCUUCAGUCGGCUUCUAGAAUUUUCGUCUGCAGUUCACGUAUUUAUGCCUCAUGCAUUAGGUUGUGGAUUCCAUACAUAAUUCUGCCCAGUUGGAGACAAAUGAAUCAUGGGUUGUGGCUCAAGUCGCGUCGAGAACUCUCGGUUCCGUCAGACAUAUGGGGAACCUAGCGAAUUCGACACCUGUUCUUCUGUGGUGUCUGCGGCACGGGAUACCAGAGGGGAACCAGACGGCAGGGAAGGCCUUUCCUCGCCUGCACCCAAAGAAAUCCUCAACGAAUACAGUAACCGUAUCUCCAAUUUUGCUCCCCGAGAGCGGCUGAGCUCUCUGCCCAGUCGUAAAUCAGCCACGCGCUCUGUUGCCUCUAAGACCAGAUCAAAUCCGAUCCGAACAGACUCCGACUUCAACGAAUUGACAGAGCCGAAAGACAACGAAGACGAUUCGAUGGCAGGCGGAGAUAAUGCGAUGGGAAAGCAGGCAGCAGCUUCGAUUGGAGAUUCUGGGGACUUCCUGACCGCAAGCUAACCUCCCCUGGGUAGCUCACUGUCAAAAGAUCAGUCAAGGCGGUAGGUUCGGACCUUGCACUCUGCAGCUACAUGUACGCGAACUCACUUCGUGAACCAAAGUAUGAACCGUGGUAUGGAGUCACGUUUAACCAGCCAAACCAAGACGACGCUUGCGGUUGAAGGCUUUGACUAAAUUAAGUAUGGAAUUCUGGGAACAGAAAUUCCAUGACUAGGCCUACACUGAACGACUUCGUCGUCCAAAGAAACUUUAAUUUCUGCAGUGCGGUGUGUUAUAAAAAAUCUCUCCAGAACGAACUUUGAAAACGUUGUAAAACAGCUGUUGAUGUUUCACUCAGCCGUUUGCUGGUCUGGAAAUUAUCAGUAUACAGCUCAAUGUCUGCAAAAAGAUGUCUGACUUCUACAGAUCGAUUGACUAUAACAUCGAAUGGUGCGAUAAAUUGCGGCUCAUAAAUUUACAAACGCGUUCACUUUACCCAUCGAUCGCCAUGUUGGUUUCGAUAUUAAGAAACCCGUCAUGUCUUAUCACUUUGUAAUUUCACACGUGUGAACUGCGCCAACGGGUCUUGCACGGAUCGCAUAGUUUAGUAUGUGCAGUAUAAUGCAUUCAGACCUAGAAGACGGAAUACUGUACAGGAGCGAUGGUUGGUUGCGAUGAAAGCUUCAAAUUAAUGUUACACAUCGCCAUUUACAAACACGAGGUAUGCACUUGAUAUUGUAUAGCAUUUGAUGCGCAAUAUGUGGCAAAGGGGGACCCCCUCUAUUGUGUCUUCUUACGUGUUGAUGGAAUCUUUGCAAUUCCUUUCAGAUUUCCGGGGGAGGGGGGCAAUCUUUGAGAUUCGUUUCAGAUUUCCGAGGGGGGGGGUACAGUAGGCACAAUGGCCUUAGGGCAUAGAGCUUUUACAUCACAUGGGGUCCCCCUUUGCCACAUAUUGUGCUGGAUAUAUUGUAUAGCAUCGCC